AUUGAACGCUGGCAGGAGGCUUAUCACAUGCAAGUCGAACGAGUGUCGGACGGGUGAGUAAUGCUUGGGAAUCUAGCUUGUCGAGGGGGAUAACUACGGGCAACUGUAGCUAAUACCGCGUACCAUAGGAUGAGCCCAAGUGGGAUUAGGUAGUUGGUGGGGUAAAGGCUCACCAAGCCGACGAUCUCUAGCUGGUCUGAGAGGAUUACCAGCCACACGGGGACUGAGACACGGCCCAGACUCCGCGGGGAGGCAGCAGUGGGGAAUAUUGCGCAAUGGGAGCAACCUGACGCAGUCAUGCCGCGUGAAUGAAGAAGGCCUUCGGGUUGUAAAGUUCUCUCGGUAGCGAGGCGUUAACUACAGAAGAAGCACCUGCUAACUCCGUGCCAGCAGCCGCGGUAAUAC
rnacentral:rRNA from 1 species